UCCGAAANCGGUAGACGCUACGGACUUAAAGAAUUUGAGCUUUGAUAGAAAAACUUAUUAAAUGCUAGCUUUCAGAUUCAGGGAAACUUAGGUUGAAAAAAGUAUAAGCGAUCCUGAGCCAAAUUUUAUAUUUAAAAAACAAAAUAGGUGCAGAGACUCGAUGGAAGCUAUCCUAACGCAAAAAGAUUUAAGACUUAUUUAAUGAAAUUUUUUGAUUUAAUAAAAGAAAAAAAUGUCAUUAAAAUUUUUUAAUUUACAAGCGAGGAUAAAGAUAGAGUCCAAUUUUACAUGUUAAUUUUAACAACAAUUUAAAUUGUAAUAAAAAGAAAAUCCGUUGGCUUUAUUGACCGUGAGGGUUCAAGUCCCUCUACCCCCAAAAUACUUAAUUCUGAUUUUUUUAUUGACAUAAGUUUACAGUUUGUGUUAGGAUAGCCUAAAGAAAAAGCCGGAAUAGCUCAGUUGGUAGAGCAGAGGACUGAAAAUCCUCGUGUCAC
rnacentral:misc_RNA from 1 species